UACGUAGGGUGCAAGCGUUGUCCGGAAUUAUUGGGCGUAAAGAGCUCGUAGGCGGUUUGUCGCGUCUGCUGUGAAAACCCGAGGCUCAACCUCGGGCCUGCAGUGGGUACGGGCAGACUAGAGUUCGGUAGGGGAGACUGGAAUUCCUGGUGUAGCGGUGAAAUGCGCAGAUAUCAGGAGGAACACCGGGUGCGAAGGCGGGUCUCUGGGCCGAAACUGACGCUGAGGAGCGAAAGCGUGGGGGAGCGAACAGGG
rnacentral:rRNA from 1 species